AGAGAAGGUGUAUUUUAUGGUUGUACUUCAUUAAUAGAUAUUUUUGAUUGAGGAUCAUCUUGUGCUUGCAUUUGUAGGUCUUAAACUUCUCCAAAUUCAAUUUUCUUCUCACUGCCUCAUUCUAGGAUAAACUCUUUUUCCAUAAAAGUAGCAUGUUUACUGAUAAAAAUCUUUUGUUUAGUAGGAUGGUAAAAGAAGUAUCCUAUAUCCUCUUUAGGAUAACC
rnacentral:lncRNA from 1 species